UACAUUUUUUGCAAUAUUAUUUUUUAAAAAUAACCCUUUCUUUCUAAUUUUAACAAAAAAGUCAUUAUCUUCUUUAUCAUUCUUGUUGAACUCCCUCAUCAGAUCUACAGACACAACCGGAAUCCUAGUGUAUCAUGGAUCAGCUCGUUGACUCUUUGCUCCUAGAUCUCUUCUUUAUCAUUCUGGUUCGAUCUCACUCAUCAGAUCUACAGUGUACCAUGGAUCAUCUCGUCGUCUCUUUGCUCGUGCUCUCAACUCUAGUCUCUUUGCUCCCAAUGGCUUCAGAGCUCUUCAUUCUGGUUCACUGUCUUCAACCGUCGUCACCCUCCAUGACGAGAAUGGGAAGUGUGUCAAUUUGUUUUAUCUCAUUUCUUUCUCAUCCAAACCGAGCAAAUCGAGCAAAUCGAGCAAACCGAGCCCUUUUGGAGGACUGAGGGACACUCAGUGAAACCAUGAGCGUGAGUGAAUUUGAUGACAUUGAUCUUAGUGGCAAAUCAUUUUGUUGUAUGGGGGCUAUUCAAGAUCUAAGUGUUUUUGGGUUCCACUUUUCCUUCUCUUGGUAAGAGAUAUGCCUCAUGGGCCAGCCGGCUAGAUGAGUUCCUAGCGAGAGUUUUCUCUGUUCAAGUUGUAUCCAAAGUCUAUGGACAACAACAUGCUGCAGCCAGAUUGUCCAAAUUUUAUGCUUUUGUUGUCUUGUCUGGAGUUGGUCUGAUUUGUGUUGGUUACUCUUUGGAAUCAUGGAAGCAUGUUGCAGAAGUUGAAGCCCCGGUUGCCACCCCUGUUGAAUCCCUAAAUCAAAAGUUGGUUUAAAAUUUGCAAAUUUUCAAAAUUUAUCAAAAUAACGCAAAUAAGAAUUGUUUGUCGUGGUUUUUUUUGUGUUACGGAGAGUACAUGCCUAUCAAA